AGUUCAUAUAAUUUAGCAUUUACUCUAACUCAAAUACUGUAGGUCUUUCUUUUUGCCGCCUACAAAAAUGGCUACCUACUGCUUCCGUGAAGUACUUCCGGUGUUGCGGAUGGGCGGGACAAGAGUUCUGACGAACCUGGCAUAUAUAACCUCGUGAUUGAGAGUUUCUCGUCCAUUUUACCUUCUGUGAGUUGGAGGGACUGAGCUGGUUUUAGAACACUUUGCAGAGGCCUAAGCAAAGUAUAAUGUGGCAAAUAAAGCAAGACGGUGGCGUCGCUUUCCGCAGCUAUGGAGUUUGUAUUUUGAGAGAAAAGGAUCGUUUAGGAAGAAAAAUCAUCGCCCUUUGGCUGUUUCAGGAAGACGGUAGUUGUAAGUGAACGGUCCGCAGACGAGACCAUUUUAUGCCAUAUUCUCGAUGAUGAAUGAAGAUGGGUGAUCUCUUUGUCCUAUGGAUGGUCAUUUGCAGAAUUCUGCCCACCGAUGGAAUCCACAAAGGCUCACGUUGACAGAGGGAAACUACACGGGAGUAGCGCGCCUUCACGUGCUCACACCCGCCAUACUGUCGUAAGUUCUAUGGUGUUUUAUAAAUUACUGUUUAUAUAGCGCAAAAUAUGUUGUAAUAUUUUCUUGAACCAACACUUUUUUUUUAUUUUUUUAGUUGUAAUUUUGGUGUGCAUGAAUCUGAGCUUUCAGAAGGUGCCAGUCUGCACAUUGUAACUGCUUUCAGAAAUUACUCACCCUGACCUUGUUCAAAGGGAGAUGGGGGAAUGUGAUGCACUUUUUUUUCCCAUAUCUAAGCUGCAAUGUUUGAAAUAAGGAGCUGCUGAUUCUACAGAGGGCUUCACAGUGAACCACUUUGUGUGAGAGUUGGACCUAAGGAAGCAGCUGGGACACUGAUUUAUUUAUCAACACUAUCAAAAUGAAACAAAGAAAAAUCCUUUUCACUAAAACCAUAAAAUUAUUUAAAUCUAUGAUAAGCACAAAUGGAAACCUGUUGAAAGAAUUUGAAUAAAUAUACAAAAAUCUCAA